rnacentral:rRNA from 1 species
UGGGGAAUCUUGGACAAUAGGCGCAAGCCUGAUCCAGCCAUGCCGCGUGAGUGAAGAAGGCCCUAGGGUUGUAAAGCUCUUUCGGCGGGGCCGAUAAUGACGGUACCCGCAGAAGAAGCCCCGGCUAACUCCGUGCCAGCAGCCGCGGUCAUACGGCGGGGGCUAGCGUUGUUCGGAAUUACUGGGCGUAAAGGGCGCGUAGGCGGCGCGGUAAGUCACUUGUGAAAUCUCUGAGCUUAACUCAGAACGGCCAAGUGAUACUGCUGUGCUAGAGUGCGGAGGAGGCAGCCGGAAUUCUUGGUGUAGCGGUGAAAUGCGUAGAUAUCAAGAGGAACACCUGAGGCGAAGGCGGGUUGCUGGGCCGACACUGACGCUGAUGCGCGAAAGCCAGGGGAGCAAAC